rnacentral:rRNA from 1 species
UACCAGCUCUCCGAGUUGUAGGGAUGAUUAUUGGGCUUAAAGCGUCCGUAGCUGGCUUAGCAAGUCUCCUGUUAAAUUCAGCGACCUAAUCGUUGAGCCGCGGGAGAUACUACUAGGCUAGGAGGCGGGAGAGGUCGACGGUACUUUCGGGGUAGGGGUGAAAUCCUAUAAUCCCGGGAGGACCACCAGUGGCGAAGGCUGUCGACUAGAACGCGCUCGACGGUGAGGGACGAAAGCUGGGGGAGCGAACCGGAUUAGAUACCCGGGUAGUCCCAGCUGUAAACGAUGCAGGCUAGGUGUUUGGGCGGCCACGUGCCGCUCUAGUGCCGCAAAGAAGUUGUUAAGCCUGCCGCCUGGGGAGUACGGCCGCAAGGCUGAAACUUAAAGGAAUUGGCGGGGGAGCACCACAAGGGGUGAAGCUUGCGGUUU